AAUGACGUGGCAACGUAUGAUUGGGUUAAAAAAAAAUUUCACUCACCUAAUUAGGGGUGCACCCCCUUCACCCUGAUUUCCGUCACAGCAACAAAUCACCAAUGCUGUCCAAGUACCUUCUAAUUAGGUUUAAACCGUCACUCAGGACUACUGGGACUCUAUAAAGAACAAUGAAUACUUUUCGACAGAAGCUCUCAUGGACUUAAUAAAACAGCUGAGGAUAUACAAGACUCCUGAUCUGGAAACACCAAAAUAUCAGAUACUUAAAAGAACUGCAACAUAUGAGGUAUAUAUAUUUGGAAAGAACUCUAGGGAAGAAAAAAAUACCAAUGACAACUUUAGUUUUCACUCAAGCAUUUGAUCCCGAGAUGUCGCAAAUGUCGAUCCAAAUCGUUCUU